rnacentral:rRNA from 1 species
AUUGAACGCUGGCGGCAGGCCUAACACAUGCAAGUCGAGCGGCAGCGGGAAAGUAGCUUGCUACUUUUGCCGGCGAGCGGCGGACGGGUGAGUAAUGCCUGGGAAAUUGCCCAGUCGAGGGGGAUAACAGUUGGAAACGACUGCUAAUACCGCAUACGCCCUACGGGGGAAAGCAGGGGACCUGCGGGCCUUGCGCGGUUGGAUAUGCCCAGGUGGGAUUAGCUAGUUGGUGAGGUAAUGGCUCACCAAGGCGACGAUCCCUAGCUGGUCUGAGAUGAGGAUCAGCCACACUGGAACUGAGACACGGUCCAGACUCCUACGGGAGGCAGCAGUGGGGAAUAUUGCACAAUGGGGGAAACCCUGAUGCAGCCAUGCCGCGUGUGUGAAGAAGGCCUUCGGGUUGUAAAGCACUUUCAGCGAGGAGGAAAGGUUGAUGCCUAAUACGUAUCAACUGUGACGUUACUCGCAGAAGAAGCACCGGCUAACUCCGUGCCAGCCGCCGCAGUAAGAC